rnacentral:rRNA from 1 species
GACGAACGCUGGCGGCGUGCUUAACACAUGCAAGUCGAACGAAGAGCGAUGGAAGCUUGCUUCUAUCAAUCUUAGUGGCGAACGGGUGAGUAACGCGUAAUCAACCUGCCCUUCAGAGGGGGACAACAGUGGGAAACGACUGCUAAUACCGCAUACGAUCUAAUCUCGGCAUCGAGGAUAGAUGAAAGGUGGCCUCUACAUGUAAGCUAUCAUUGAAGGAGGGGAUUGCGUCUGAUUAGCUAGUUGGUGGGGUAACGGCCUACCAAGGCGAUGAUCAGUAGCCGGUCUGAGAGGAUGAACGGCCACACUGGGACUGAGACACGGCCCAGACUCCUACGGGAGGCAGCAGUGGGGAAUCUUCCGCAAUGGACGAAAGUCUGACGGAGCAACGCCGCGUGAGUGAUGACGGCCUUCGGGUUGUAAAGCUCUGUUAAUCGGGACGAAAGGCCUUCUUGCGAACAGUUAGAAGGAUUGACGGUACCGGAAUAGAAAGCCACGGCUAACUACGU